CAGCCAUAUAGCGCUAAAACGCUGGUUCCCGUACGAUACCUGAAGUUAAGCAACAUUGAGCCUGGCCAGUACCUAGAUGGGUGAACGCUUGAUAAUGCCAGGUAUUGUAAG